rnacentral:rRNA from 1 species
UAAAGAUUCAUCGCUGAUAGAUAGGCAUGCGUUCCAUUAGGCAGUUGGCGGGGUAACGGCCCACCAAACCGACGAUGGAUAGGGGUUCUGAGAGGAAGGUCCCCCACAUUGGUACUGAGACACGGACCAAACUCCUACGGGAGGCAGCAGUGAGGAAUAUUGGUCAAUGGGCGUAAGCCUGAACCAGCCAAGUCGCGUGAGGGAUGAAGGUUCUAUGGAUCGUAAACCUCUUUUAUAAGGGAAUAAAGUGCGGGACGUGUCCCGUUUUGUAUGUACCUUAUGAAUAAGGAUCGGCUAACUCCGUGCCAGCAGCCGCGGUAAUACGGAGGAUCCGAGCGUUAUCCGGAUUUAUUGGGUUUAAAGGGUGCGUAGGCGGCCUUUUAAGUCAGCGGUGAAAGUCUGUGGCUCAACCAUAGAAUUGCCGUUGAAACUGGGAGGCUUGAGUAUGUUUGAGGCAGGCGGAAUGCGUGGUGUAGCGGCGAAAUGCUUAGAUAUCACGCAGAACCCCGAUUGCGAAGGCAGCCUGCCAAGCCAUGACUGACGCUGAUGCACGAAAGCGUGGGGAUCAAACAGGAUUAGAUACCCUGGUAGUCCACGCAGUAAACGAUGAUCACUAGCUGUUUGCGAUACAG